GGACUACCAGGGUUUCUAAUCCUGUUUGCUACCCACGCUUUCGAAUCUCAGUGUCAGUUACGAGCCAGAAAGCUGCCUUCGCCAUCGGUAUUCCUCCAAAUAUCUACGGAUUUCACUCCUACACUUGGAAUUCCGCUUUCCUCUCUCGUACUCCAGCAACGCAGUAUCAAAUGCACUUCCCAGGUUAAGCCCAGGGCUUUCACAUCUGACUUACGUCACCACCUACAUUCCCUUUACGCCCAGUAAUUCCGAACAACGCUCGAGGCCUCUGUAUUACCGCGGCUGCUGGCAC
rnacentral:rRNA from 1 species